UCUUCUAGAGCUUUUGAGCAGUUGAGUUAAUGGGCAUUGUUCAGGUAUCCUACUUCUUUUCCUAUGAUAAAUUAUUCUGCUAAUAUUGCUUGCAAAAUGAUCCCUGCAGAGUUAAAAUAUUGUCAUACAGGGGUGCAGGAUUUUAAGCAGAUUUAAGCUGACUGGAGUCCUGUCUGCCAUUUUAUUUUUAUUUAUUUAUUUAUUUAUUUUUCUUUUUGGGCACAUGCUAGACAGACAACUAAUGCAAAUGUUUUAGUUUUGUCUUCAGUUCAUUGGAUAGAUAUCUGUGGACAACUCAUGCAGAUGUUGUGUAUAUUAAUUUUGCCUGUUUAACUUCCACGUGAACUCCUAUCGUUAAUGACGAUUUCCACGUGCCCAUCAGAGAUAUUAGCAUUUGAAUGCAUAAAUUGUCAGUAAUUUUCAAUGUUUA